rnacentral:rRNA from 1 species
UGAACUUAAGCAUAUCAAUAAGCGGAGGAAAAGAAACUAACAAGGAUUCCCCUAGUAACUGCGAGUGAAGCGGGAAAAGCUCAAAUUUAAAAUCUGGCGGUCUCUGGCCGUCCGAGUUGUAAUCUAGAGAAGUGUUAUCCGCGCUGGACCGUGUACAAGUCUCCUGGAAUGGAGCAUCAUAGAGGGUGAGAAUCCCGUCUUUGACACGGACUACCAGGGCUUUGUGAUGCGCUCUCAAAGAGUCGAGUUGUUUGGGAAUGCAGCUCAAAAUGGGUGGUAAAUUCCAUCUAAAGCUAAAUAUUGGCGAGAGACCGAUAGCGAACAAGUACCGUGAGGGAAAGAUGAAAAGAACUUUGGAAAGAGAGUUAAACAGUACGUGAAAUUGCUGAAAGGGAAACGCUUGAAGUCAGUCGCGUUGGCCGGGGAUCAACCUUGCUUUUGCUGGGCGUACUUUCCGGUUGACGGGUCAGCAUCAAUUUUGACCGUUGGAUAAAGUCUAGGGGAAUGUGGCAUCUUCGGAUGUGUUAUAGCCCUUGGUCGCAUACAACGGUUGGGAUUGAGGAACUCAGCACGCCGCAAGGCCGGGUACUUGUACCACGUUCGUGCUUAGGAUGCUGGCAUAAUGGCUUUAAUCGACCCGUCUUGAAACACGGACCAAGGAGUCUAACAUGCCUGCGAGUGUUUGGGUGGAAAACUCGGACGCGUAAUGAAAGUGAAAGUUGAGAUCCCUGUCGUGGGGAGCAUCGACGCCCGGACCAGACCUUUUGUGACGGAUCCGCGGUAGAGCAUGUAUGUUGGGACCCGAAAGAUGGUGAACUAUGCCUGAAUAGGGUGAAGCCAGAGGAAACUCUGGUGGAGGCUCGUAGCGAUUCUGACGUGCAAAUCGAUCGUCAAAUUUGGGUAUAGGGGCGAAAGACUAAUCGAACCAUCUAGUAGCUGGUUCCUGCCGAAGUUUCCCUCA